rnacentral:rRNA from 1 species
UACGAAGGGGGCUAGCGUUGUUCGGAAUUACUGGGCGUAAAGCGCGCGCAGGCGGCCUUUCAAGUCAGGGGUGAAAGCCCGGAGCUCAACUCCGGAAUUGCCUUUGAAACUGUCAGGCUCGAGUACGGGAGAGGUGAGUGGAAUUCCCAGUGUAGAGGUGAAAUUCGUAGAUAUUGGGAAGAACACCGGUGGCGAAGGCGGCUCACUGGCUCAUUACUGACGCUCAGGCGCGAUAGCGUGGGGAUCAAACAGG